UUGAGUGAAAUCACAAAGACGCGUGAGAUCGACCAUGAAUUUCGAAAAAGGAUCGAAAACGACAAGGUGUUUACCUGUGAAAAACACUUCGACGUAGAAGAUUUCGAAAUAUUUCAAACGGCGAAAAUGACGCAGAAGAAACCACAAUUCGGCCCCAUCCCAGCCUUAAACAAGCCAAGGAAAAGUCACGAGUCUGCAAGGCCUACACAAAGACCUGCUAGAUCGGUUGUCAAGGAGCACGAUCAACAACCCAAGGCAUGUUACAAGUCAUUUUGCUGCUCACGGCUCUGACGAACGAGGAGAGAUUUUUCUUUUACCCGAGAGUGCAAACAGGUGUGUUCUUCCUCGAGAAGAAAGCUACCUUUUGACAAUGAGGGAAAUUUCACAAAUUCAGCUGCGAGAAAAACUGGUGGUUCUAAGCCGUUAUCACAGCGCUCGUGGAGAGAUUAAAACCGAGGGAGUUAUUGGAAUCGCUCGAGCGUUUCUUGGACCCAGUGCUCGCUCAGUGCUAGCGGCACGUUGGGCCCUUGAGGACAAAGCCAUAGAGCAGUUCAUGAUCCGCCUCUACGAUUAUUUGUACCGCGGGGAAAGUGUCAGUGAAUCGCUCCAUAGGACCCGGAAGUGGAUGAGAAACAACGGCUUUGUCAAAGUCACUCAAUGGUCUCCGUUUCUACUGAUUGGCGACAACGUGACAUUUGACUUUAGAAAUUGGCCUGUGUCGUCUGCACAGCCUGAGAGCCAAGUGUAAAGUAGUACACUUCAUUCAAAUGCGUUGGAUUUACAAUGCCGGUAAAUGCCAGUUGGUUUUAUGUAGUAGGAGGACACCGUCUGUAAACGACAAGAUUGAUACCCACAGAAAAACAUUUCUAAGAAAAGGAAUCAUCGACAUCUAUGUCUAAUGAUCUAGAAAAGGACAGUUCAUAAUGAACUUUUAAAAAACUUUGAGUGACCUUCUUUUCCGGCGAAAGUUGUUAGUAGUCAUGCGAAGUAGAUUUUCGAUUUUUUCGAAAGCGAUUGGUCACUGAAGCCAAAUUAAUUUCAUGUAAUUUUUAUAAUGAAGUUAAAGAAAGUAAAUUCCAAAUAUUUUCCAGUUUUUCAAGCAACUCUCCAUUUUUUCUUAUGUGUAUAUUCCGGAAGGUCUCUUUAGUUUAAGAUUACGCGAGCUUUCUUGUAAAAAAACUACUUAGAACCUUAGUACUUAACAAGCUUCAGUGACCUUUUCCGGCGAAAGUUGUUUGGUUAAGUAGUCAGGCGAAGUAGAUUUUGUUCAAUUUUUUCCGAAAGUGAUUGGCUACUGAAGCCAAAUCAAUUUCAAGUGAUUUUGAUAAUGAAACCAAGAAAAUUUCAAAUAUUAUUCCAGUUUUUUCAAGCAACUCUCCAUUUUUUCUAAUGUGUGUAUAUUCCGAAAGGUGUCUUUAGGCUAAAUUUACUCGAACUUUCAAGCAAAUCAUCCAUAAUCACUUGUGUGAUGAAAAUACAUUUACUAGCCGUGGAAUGUAGCUAUUAAGGUUUUCAUUGUGCUUUUUUUAUAUUUUUUUGCAAGGAAAUGAUUAAUAAUCUUACAGAAACUUUCAAAGUGCGCUAACCACUUCACAUGUUAGGGGAUGUUACUAAACUAUGGAUCAGCAGAUCGGAGUCAGCGAAACUUGUGGAACCAGCGAAACCAAGGGAACCUGUGAAACCAUUAAUUUUUUUCAUGGAAAAAAUAAUGAAAUAAAGCUGAAAAUACCUUAA